CAGCCGCCACGGUAAUACGGAGGGGGCUAGCGUUGUUCGGAAUUACAGGGCGUAAAGCGCACGUAGGCGGCUUGGUAAGUUAGAGGUGAAAGCCUGGAGCUCAACUCCAGAAUUGCCUUUAAGACUGCCGAGCUAGCAGGUGAGAGAGGUAAGUGGAAUUCCGAGUGUAGAGGUGAAAUUCGUAGAUAUUCGGAAGAACACCAGUGGCGAAGGCGGCUUACUGGCUCAUACUGGACGCUGAGGUGCGAAAGCGUGGGGAGCAAACAGGAUUAGAUACCCCGGUAGUCCCUGUCUCUUAUAC
rnacentral:rRNA from 1 species